rnacentral:rRNA from 1 species
UUCGCCCUUAGAGUUUGAUCCUGGCUCAGGACGAACGCUGGCGGCGCGCCUAACACAUGCAAGUCGAACGAGCGAGAGAGAGCUUGCUUUCUUGAGCGAGUGGCGAACGGGUGAGUAACGCGUGAGGAACCUGCCUCAAAGAGGGGGACAACAGUUGGAAACGACUGCUAAUACCGCAUAAGCCCACGGCUCGGCAUCGAGCAGAGGGAAAAGGAGCAAUCCGCUUUGAGAUGGCCUCGCGUCCGAUUAGCUGGUUGGUGAGGUAACGGCCCACCAAGGCGACGAUCGGUAGCCGGACUGAGAGGUUGAACGGCCACAUUGGGACUGAGACACGGCCCAGACUCCUACGGGAGGCAGCAGUGGGGAAUAUUGCACAAUGGGGGAAACCCUGAUGCAGCGACGCCGCGUGGAGGAAGAAGGUCUUCGGAUUGUAAACUCCUGUUGUUGAGGAAGAUAAUGACGGUACUCAACAAGGAAGUGACGGCUAACUACGUGCCAGCAGCCGCGGUAAAACGUAGGUCACAAGCGUUGUCCGGAAUUACUGGGUGUAAAGGGAGCGCAGGCGGGAAGACAAGUUGGAAGUGAAAUCCAUGGGCUCAACCCAUGAACUGCUUUCAAAACUGUUUUUCUUGAGUAGUGCAGAGGUAGGCGGAAUUCCCGGUGUAGCGGUGGAAUGCGUAGAUAUCGGGAGGAACACCAGUGGCGAAGGCGGCCUACUGGGCACCAACUGACGCUGAGGCUCGAAAGUGUGGGUAGCAAACAGGAUUAGAUACCCUGGUAGUCCACACUGUAAACGAUGAUUACUAGGUGUUGGAGGAUUGACCCCUUCAGUGCCGCAGUUAACACAAUAAGUAAUCCACCUGGGGAGUACGACCGCAAGGUUGAAACUCAAAGGAAUUGACGGGGGCCCGCACAAGCAGUGGAGUAUGUGGUUUAAUUCGACGCAACGCGAAGAACCUUACCAAGUCUUGACAUCCUGCGACGGUGCUGGAAACAGUACUUUCCUUCGGGACGCAGAGACAGGUGGUGCAUGGUUGUCGUCAGCUCGUGUCGUGAGAUGUUGGGUUAAGUCCCGCAACGAGCGCAACCCUUAUGGUCAGUUACUACGCAAGGGGACUCUGGCCAGACUGCCGUUGACAAAACGGAGGAAGGUGGGGAUGACGUCAAAUCAUCAUGCCCUUUAUGACUUGGGCUACACACGUACUACAAUGGCGUUAAACAAAGAGAAGCAAGACCGCGAGGUGGAGCAAAACUCAGAAACAACGUCCCAGUUCGGACUGCAGGCUGCAACUCGCCUGCACGAAGUCGGAAUUGCUAGUAAUCGCAGAUCAGCAUGCUGCGGUGAAUACGUUCCCGGGCCUUGUACACACCGCCCGUCA